rnacentral:rRNA from 1 species
UACGGAGGAUGCAAGCGUUAUCCGGAAUUAUUGGGCGUAAAGAGCUCGUAGGCGGUGUGUCGCGUCGGCCGUGAAAACCUGCAGCUUAACUGUGGGCUUGCGGUCGAUACGGGCAUCACUGGAGUUCGGCAGGGGAGACUGGAAUUCCUGGUGUAGCGGUGAAAUGCGCAGAUAUCAGGAGGAACACCGGUGGCGAAGGCGGGUCUCUGGGCCGAUACUGACGCUGAGGAGCGAAAGCGUGGGGAGCGAACAGG